rnacentral:lncRNA from 1 species
AUUUCUUUUUAAUAUUACUUAAAAAAAAAUAGUACUUCAAAUAUUCAAUCAAAUUAUCCAAGCAUGGAGCAUUACACAAUAUUGAGAGUCCGUAAUUUAAAGCAUCAUGCCACAUGCAAAACAUAUUACGUGUUAAGUCAUGCAUUAAAAUAUUAAGAAUAAGCAUGUCAAGGAUCAAAAUCAAUUCUUUUUCAAAUACACUCCCCCUAUUUAAAUAUAAUCUUGCAUUGAUUUCAUCCUUAAGGUGUGUUUCCAAGUGAUUAAAGCUUGACUUGAUGCUUCUUAUAUACUUUCAUUUACUUUAUCAUUCAUUUUUACUUUCUUAUGCUCUAUUCUCUAUUUGCUCCCUAUCCGGUGGAGUUGGAAGGGGCACGAGGUACUACCACUAGCCUCCCUCUUGUGCCGUCCCUAAUAUGCCCUACACCGAAUAGUUGGGUCAAAUAGUGCCGGGUACUACCACUAGCCUUCCCAUUGGCACCAUCCCUAUGAUGAGCAGUAUAGAAAGGUUCAAAUGUUCACUUCAAACUUUCCCUGUUUAAGUGUAAUUAAUUAUAGAUUUUAUCCCUUCCAAAAGUGCUGAAUAUAUUAUGCUUGUUUUUCUUUUCCUUAAGAUUGGAGUAUUUGCCUUUGCUUAGAUUUUACAUCUC